AUGUCAGUUCAGUUUCUGGGACCGCACCUAUACGAUUGGUCAUUAUCGUGUCAGUUUGAGUCGAGACCGCACCUAUACGAUCCGUCAUCUCUUUGUCAUGUCAGUUCAGUUUCUGGGACCGUACCUAUACGAUCGGUCAUUAUCGUGUCAGUUUGAGUCGAGACCGCACCUAUACGAUCGGUCAUCUCUUUGUCAUGUCAGUUCAGUUUCUGGGA
rnacentral:lncRNA from 1 species